CCCUUAGAUGUCCUGGGCUGCACGCGCGCUACACUGAUGUGUCCAGUAAGCACCUAACCUAUUCCGAGAGGAGCGGGUAACCUUAGCAAAGCACAUCGUGAUGGGGAUAGAUUAUUGCAAUUAUUAGUCUUGAACGAGGAAUUCCUAGUAAGCGCGAGUCAUCAGCUCGCGUUGAUUACGUCCCUGCCCUUUGUACACACCGCCCGUCGCUCCUACCGAUUGAAUGGUCCGGUGAAAUCUUCGGAUUGCUGGAUAGGAGGGCAACCACCUAUCUGCGAGAAGUUGCUUGAACCUUAUCAUUUAGAGGAAGGAGAAGUCGUAACA
rnacentral:rRNA from 1 species